rnacentral:rRNA from 1 species
GACGAACGCUGGCGGCGUGCUUAACACAUGCAAGUCGAACGGAAAGGCCCUGCUUUUGUGGGGUGCUCGAGUGGCGAACUGGUGAGUAACACGUGAGUAACCUGCCCUUGACUUUGGGAUAACUUCAGGAAACUGGGGCUAAUACCGGAUAGGAGCUCCUGCUGCAUGGUGGGGGUUGGAAAGCUUCGGCGGUUGGGGAUGGACUCGCGGCUUAUCAGCUUGUUGGUGGGGUAGUGGCUUACCAAGGCUUUGACGGGUAGCCGGCCUGAGAGGGUGACCGGCCACAUUGGGACUGAGAUACGGCCCAGACUCCUACGGGAGGCAGCAGUGGGGAAUAUUGCACAAUGGGCGGAAGCCUGAUGCAGCAACGCCGCGUGCGGGAUGACGGCCUUCGGGUUGUAAACCGCUUUCGCCUGUGACGAAGCGUGAGUGACGGUAAUGGGUAAAGAAGCACCGGCUAACUACGUG